GAUGAACGCUGGCGGCGUGCCUAAUACAUGCAAGUCGAGCGAACAGAUGAGGAGCUUGCUCCUCUGACGUUAGCGGCGGACGGGUGAGUAACACGUGGAUAACCUACCUAUAAGACUGGGAUAACUUCGGGAAACCGGAGCUAAUACCGGAUAAUAUAUUGAACCGCAUGGUUCAAUAGUGAAAGACGGUUUUGCUGUCACUUAUAGAUGGAUCCGCGCCGCAUUAGCUAGUUGGUAAGGUAACGGCUUACCAAGGCAACGAUGCGUAGCCGGCCUGAGAGGGUGAUCGGCCACACUGGAACUGAGACACGGUCCAGACUCCUACGGGAGGCAGCAGUAGGGAAUCUUCCGCAAUGGGCGAAAGCCUGACGGAGCAACGCCGCGUGAGUGAUGAAGGUCUUCGGAUCGUAAAACUCUGUUAUUAGGGAAGAACAAAUGUGUAAGUAACUAUGCACGUCUUGACGGUACCUAACCAGAAAGCCACGGCUAACUACGUG
rnacentral:rRNA from 1 species